CUGGUUGAUCCUGCCAGACCCGACUGCUAUCAGAGUGGGACUAAGCCAUGCGAGUCAACGCAGCAAUGCGUGGCAUACGGCUCAGUAACACGUAGUCAACAUGCCCAGGGGACGUGGAUGACCUCGGGAAACUGAGGAUAAACCGCGAUAGGCCAAAGUUUCUGGAAUGGACACUGGCUGAAACCUAUAUGGCCCCUGGAUUGGACUGCGGCCGAUCAGGCUGUUGGUGAGGUAAUGGCCCACCAAACCUGUAACCGGUACGGGCUUUGAGAGAAGGAGCCCGGAGAUGGGCACUGAGACAAGGGCCCAGGCCCUAUGGGGCGCAGCAGGCGCGAAACCUCUGCAAUAGGCGAAAGCUUGACAGGGUUACUCUGAGUGAUGCCCGCUAAGGGCAUCUUUUGGCACCUCUAAAAAUGGUGCAGAAUAAGGGGUGGGCAAGUCUGGUGUCAGCCGCCGCGGUAAUACCAGCACCCCGAGUGGUCGGGACGAUUAUUGGGCCUAAAGCAUCCGUAGCCGGCCUUACAAGUCCUCCGUUAAAUCCAGCUGCUUAACAGGUGGGCUGCGGAGGAUACUAUAAGACUAGGAGGCAGGAGAGGCAAGCGGUACUCAGUGGGUAGGGGUAAAAUCCGUUGAUCCAUUGAAGACCACCAGUGGCGAAGGCGGCUUGCCAGAAUGCGCUCGACGGUGAGGGAUGAAAGCUGGGGGAGCAAACCGGAUUAGAUACCCGGGUAGUCCCAGCUGUAAACGAU
rnacentral:rRNA from 1 species